GAUGAACGCUAGCGGCAGGCUUAAUACAUGCAAGUCGAACGGCAGCGGGUCCAGCAAUGGAUGCCGGCGAGUGGCGCACGGGUGCGUAACACGUAUGUAACCUACCUUUAACCGGGACAUAACCUCGAGAAAUCGUGGCUAAUAUCCCAUAAUAUCCCCGGAUCGCAUGUUUUGGGGAUUAAAAUUCCGAUGGUUUUAGAUGGGCAUGCGCGACAUUAGCUAGUUGGUGAGGUAACGGCUCACCAAGGCUACGAUGUCUAGGGGGUCUGAGAGGAUGAUCCCCCACACUGGUACUGAGACACGGACCAGACUCCUACGGGAGGCAGCAGUAAGGAAUAUUGGGCAAUGGAGGCAACUCUGACCCAGCCAUGCCGCGUGCAGGAUGACAGCCCUAUGGGUUGUAAACUGCUUUUAUACGGGAAAAAACCCCCGAUCGUGAAUCGGGGCUGAUGGUACCGUAAGAAUAAGCAUCGGCUAACUCCGUGCCAGCAGCCGCGGUAAUACGGAGGAUGCAAGCGUUAUCCGGAUUUACUGGGUUUAAAGGGUGCGCAGGCGGAACGAUCAGUCAGUGGUGAAAUCUCCCGGCUUAACCGGGAAACUGCCAUUGAUACUAUUGUUCUUGAGUACAGUUGAAGUAGGCGGAAUGUAGCAUGUAGCGGUGAAAUGCUUAGAUAUGCUACAGAACACCGAUAGCGAAGGCAGCUUACUAAACUGAAACUGACGCUCAGGCACGAAAGCGUGGGUAGCAAACA
rnacentral:rRNA from 1 species